AGAGUUUGAUCCUGGCUCAGAACGAACGCUGGCGGCAGGCUUAACACAUGCAAGUCGAACGCAUCCUUCGGGGUGAGUGGCAGACGGGUGAGUAACGCGUGGGAACGUGCCCUUCAGUUCGGGAUAACCCAGGGAAACUUGGGCUAAUACCGGAUACGUGCGAGAGCAGAAAGAUUUAUCGCUGAAGGAUCGGCCCGCGUCUGAUUAGCUAGUUGGUGAGGUAAUGGCUCACCAAGGCGACGAUCAGUAGCUGGUCUGAGAGGAUGAUCAGCCACACUGGGACUGAGACACGGCCCAGACUCCUACGGGAGGCAGCAGUGGGGAAUAUUGGACAAUGGGCGCAAGCCUGAUCCAGCCAUGCCGCGUGAGUGAUGAAGGCCUUAGGGUUGUAAAGCUCUUUCGGCGGGGACGAUAAUGACGGUACCCGCAGAAGAAGCCCCGGCUAACUUCGUGCCAGCAGCCGCGGUAAUACGAAGGGGGCUAGCGUUGUUCGGAAUCACUGGGCGUAAAGGGCGCGUAGGCGGCUUUAUAAGUCGGGGGUGAAAGCCUGUGGCUCAACCACAGAAUUGCCUUCGAUACUGUAUGGCUUGAGACCGGAAGAGGUAAGUGGAACUGCGAGUGUAGAGGUGAAAUUCGUAGAUAUUCGCAAGAACACCAGUGGCGAAGGCGGCUUACUGGUCCGGUUCUGACGCUGAGGCGCGAAAGCGUGGGGGAGCAAACAGGAUUAGAUACCCUAGUAGUCC
rnacentral:rRNA from 1 species